UAGGGAAUCUUCGGCAAUGGGGGGAACCCUGACCGAGCAACGCCGCGUGAGUGAAGAAGGUUUUCGGAUCGUAAAGCUCUGUUGUUAAGGAAGAACGAGUGUGAGAAUGGAAAGUUCAUACUGUGACGGUACUUAACCAGAAAGGGACGGCUAACUACGUGCCAGCAGCCGCGGUAAUACGUAGGUGGCAAGCGUUGUCCGGAUUUAUUGGGCGUAAAGCGAGCGCAGGCGGUCAGUUAAGUCUGAUGUGAAAGCCCCCGGCUCAACCGGGGAGGGUCAUUGGAAACUGGUUGACUUGAGUGCAGAAGAGGAGAGUGGAAUUCCAUGUGUAGCGGUGAAAUGCGUAGAUAUAUGGAGGAACACCAGUGGCGAAGGCGACUCUCUGGUCUGUAACUGACGCUGAGGCUCGAAAGCGUGGGUAGCAAACAGG
rnacentral:rRNA from 1 species